GCGCACGUGGCGGAAUUGGUAGACGCGCCAGCUUGAGGGGCUGGUAAAUGCAAGUUUGUGGAAGUUCGAAUCUUCUCGUGCGCAC
rnacentral:tRNA from 1 species